rnacentral:lncRNA from 1 species
GAAUAUUUUCAGCAUCCAGAGGAAAGAUAAUUCUGAUGCUGAGUAGUAUGAAAUAUUUGUAUUCACUUAAAGUGGAAAGACAAUCUGCACACCUGGAGGAGAUAUUUGCAACAUUUACAACUGGCAAAGGUUUAUUACCAAGAAUAUAUAAAGAAGUCUUAUAAAUCAACAAGAAAGAAGAAAAACAACAGAAAGAAAUGGACAAAAGAAAAAGCAUUUUAUAAAAGAAGAAAUGCUCAUGGCCAGCAAACAUAUGGAGAUGUUCAAACUCAUGUGAAAUGUAAAUCAAGACCCAAUAAGAUAAGCUUUUAUGUCCACUAAAAUGGCAAAAUGUUAAUAGCUAGACAAUCCAAGUAUUGGAGAACAUACAGAUCCAUGGGAUCUCUUACAUAUCGCUUAUAAGGGUACGCAUUAGGACAUAGGACACUCACUUAGAAAAAGUGUGGCAUUAUCUUGCAAAAUCAAACACUCACAUAGGCUGCUGUGCAGGUCCUGAGUCUGUUUGCCCUCAGAUCCACUCUUUGCUAUGCCCUUAUGUCCUCAGUUUUCCAGCAGGAUCUCGGCAGCCAUGUCAUCUUGCUUCCAGUUGGGCUCAGUUAAUAAAAGAGAGAGAAUGGAAGGUGGAAAGAAGGGAGAAGCCAAGGUGUUUCUCACCAGCACCCUCCCCUUCUCCUCUCAGGUAACAUCCCCUGUGGUGGCCACAGCUCUCCGAUGGGUCCAGUUCCCACAGGAAAGCCAGCCAUGAUUCUAACUUCUACCAGGUGACCCUGGCCCUGGGCUCUGGUGACACUAACCUUUUGUUUCUCUAGUCCUGGGGAGGGGUAGUAACAGCUUCCUGCUAUUAUUAAUUUAUGGAUUGCCUCAUUGCCUCCUGUGAGGCUUCUCAGCUAUUGAUUACCAUACUACUCAGCAAUAAAAAGGAAAAAACUAUUGAUACAUGCAACAACUUUGUCGGACCACAAGAGAAUUUUACCAACUAAAAAAGCCAGUCUCACAUUGUUACAUACUAUAUGAUUCCACUUACAUAACCUUCUAGAAAUGACAAAAUUAUUGAGGUGAAGAACAGAUUAGUGGUUGCCAAGGGUUAAAGACAGGGUUGGGGUUGGAGAAAGAAAUCAGUGUACCUAAAAAGAAGCAGCCAGAGGGAUCUUUGUGGUGACGGGACAGUUCUGUAUCUUGAUUGUGGUGGUGGUUAUACAAAUCUACGUGUAAUAAAGUUUUAUGUGUGCAUAGAACUAUGUACAUACUCAAACAAAUGCAUGUAACCCUGGUGAAAUCUGAAUAAGGUCUGUGGAUUGUGCCAAUACCAGUGACCUGGUUUUGAUACUGUAUUAUAGCUAUCUAAGACAUUAUUAUCAGGAGAAAAUGGGGGAAAGGUACAUGUACUUUUCUGUACUAUUUUUGCAACUUCUCGUGAAUCUGUUACUAUUUCAAAAUUAAAAGUAUCUGAAAAUCCAU